GGGGACAGCGGCGAACGGGUGAGUAACACGUGGGUAAUCUGCCCUCGGUUUCGGGAUAGCCCGGGGAAACCCGGAUUAAUACCGAAUGGCCUCUCGAGCUCUCGGGCUCGUGAGAAAAGGUAGCUUCGGCCUCCGACCGAGGAUGAGCCUGCGGCGGAUUAGCUUGUUGGCGGGGUAACGGCCCACCAAGGCGAGGAUCCGUAGCUGGUCUGAGAGGACGAUCAGCCACACUGGGACUGAGACACGGCCCAGACUCCUACGGGAGGCAGCAGUGGGGAAUCUUGCGCAAUGGGCGAAAGCCUGACGCAGCGACGCCGCGUGAGGGAAGAAGGCCUUCGGGUUGUAAACCUCUUUCAGGAGGGACGAAGCCACUCGGGUGAAUAGCCCAGAGGGUGACGGUACCUCCAGAAGAAGCCCCGGCUAACUACGUGCCAGCAGCCGCGGUAAUACGUAUGGGGCUAGCGUUGUCCGGAUUUAUUGGGCGUAAAGAGCGUGUAGGCGGGCCAUAUAGGUCUGCUGUGAAAACUCGAGGCUUAACCUCGAGAUGUCGGUGGAAACCAUCUGGCUAGAGUCCGGAAGAGGAGAGUGGAAUUCCUGGUGUAGCGGUGAAAUGCGCAGAUAU
rnacentral:rRNA from 1 species